rnacentral:misc_RNA from 1 species
AAGUCGUAACAAGGUUUCCGUAGGUGAACCUGCGGAAGGAUCAUUAACACUAAUGAAAUCCAAAACCUUUUGGAUCAACCCAACCUUAGCGAACCGUUCGUUUUUUCCCUUUGCCAUUUUACUAAACGCAAAACAAUCUGAUGUAACGUGUCUGAUUCUUAUUCCCGUUGUUCCCGCAAGGGUAACAGCUGGAAUCAAAAAUCUAACGCAAUACAACUCUUAACAACGGAUAUCUUGGCUCUC